rnacentral:rRNA from 1 species
CUGGGCUUGACAUGUGCCGGAUCGCCGUGGAGACACGGUUUCCCUUCGGGGCCGGUUCACAGGUGGUGCAUGGUCGUCGUCAGCUCGUGUCGUGAGAUGUUGGGUUAAGUCCCGCAACGAGCGCAACCCUCGCCGCAUGUUGCCAGCGGGUGAUGCCGGGAACUCAUGUGGGACCGCCGGGGUCAACUCGGAGGAAGGUGGGGAUGACGUCAGAUCAUCAUGCCCCUUACGUCCAGGGCUUCACGCAUGCUACAAUGGCCGGUACAACGCGGUGCGACACGGUGACGUGGGGCGGAUCGCUGAAAACCGGUCUCAGUUCGGAUCGCAGUCUGCAACUCGACUGCGUGAAGGCGGAGUCGCUAGUAAUCGCGGAUCAGCAACGCCGCGGUGAAUGCGUUCCCGGGCCUUGU